AGCGCUUUCUCCUACCUUUCACAGCCAUGGAAGCUUCCUGAAAGUCGCAGUUGAUUUUGUUGUUGACACUGGACUCCAUAUUCCCCUAAAAAGAAGCUGAGUCGAAUGUAAUAGUCUCGGGGGUCCACAUUUCAACAAGUUGAGCUAAGUUGACGCCAUUUCAGGACGACGAUUAAUCUGACUGAAUGACAAACGACCAACAGGAUUUUUAGCUGAAACCAAGAUUAUAUACUGCAUGAUGGACAAACAGGAAGAAGAAAGAGACUCAAAGAGGUUGGAAGCAAGUGAAAGAAUCAUCCCAUAAAUGUUUCACCAUGAGGUUCAUACUGUGGUAGUUAUGAUGGCCGCCCUGUGAUAUGCCCUUGGCGAUGACAGGCAUCAGAGCAUGCUGGAUGACCAUCUCCCACAUGUGGGCCACAUCCUGCCCCACACCGCUAACAAGCAUGCUGCUUCCAUAGCCUGAGGAUCCCCCGUCGGCUCGGCUCAGGUUCUCCCCCACAUAGUACACCAGAGAUGUGGUGGCGAUCUCAAAGCAAUGUGGGUUUGCACCCUCAGGCAGAAGGUUGAAUGUUUUCGCUGGCUCCAGAGACAACACCUCAGAUAGAGGAAUUUCCUGUUGGAGAGGGUUAAGAGGUCUUGUCUGAAAGCUGAAACCUCAGUGAUGCUGCUGAGACAUGCAUGUGGAUCUGACAUUAUUGAAAAAAGUGUAAAAGGCUUCUAGAAGUGCAGAGGAUCUACCUGAUGAUCCUGUUGGACUCAUCCGGGUCUAGGUCUUGAAAAUCUCCAAGCUCACCAUGUCCAGCUUCCAAAUAAGCAGCAGAAUCCCCCACCAGAGACUCUUCCAUGUCAUCGAUAAGCGGACUGUGUCUGUCCCCAUCGUGGUCAUCACAGCCCUCCUCCAUGACCACAUCUGAUUCAGCACCGGGACUCAACAAAUCUGAGCCGCCAUAAGAAGAGAACAGGAAGAUAAAGUGAGUCAUGUGAUGUUAUAUAUUUGAUGAAAAAAAGCUGUCAGUUUAACACCAUUAAUCCUGGAACUUGAAAAUGAGCAGUUUCAAAUUCCCAUUCAGAAAAGUACAUCAAUAAUGUUUUAUUCUAAAAUAUUCUAAUAUAAAUAGGCAAUAGCAUAAUAGAGGACUCACUGCAGUUACUGUAUAUCAUUUUGUUCUUUAGCCUUUGCAAAAGAUUUUAUGCUUACUGUAAAUGUACAAAAACACUUUUGUGUCGCUCUGAUAUUAUAACUAAUAUCACAAAUGACUCAUAAUUAGGGCCAGACAGAAUUUGCAGAUAUUUUUGUUAUUUCUGCUGAGAAAUUUGUCAGAAUUCUGUGGUUUUAUGUGGAAUGAUUUUAGAAGUAUUAUAACUAAAACUUAAUAUAUGAAAAAUAAAACUUUUAAACUUUUA